rnacentral:rRNA from 1 species
GAUGAACGCUAGCGGCAGGCUUAACACAUGCAAGUCGAGGGGCAGCGCGGGUAGCAAUACCUGGCGGCGACCGGCAAACGGGUGCGGAACACGUACAGAACCUACCUUUGUCUGGGGCAUAGCCCGGAGAAAUCCGGAUUAACUCCCCAUAAUAUAUUUGAGUGGCAUCACUUGGAUAUUAAAAAUUUAUUGGACAGAGAUGGCUGUGCGUCCCAUUAGCUAGUUGGUAGGGUAACGGCCUACCAAGGCAACGAUGGGUAGCUGGUGUGAGAGCACGACCAGCCACACGGGCACUGAGACACGGGCCCGACUCCUACGGGAGGCAGCAGUGAGGAAUAUUGGUCAAUGGACGCAAGUCUGAACCAGCCAUGCCGCGUGAAGGAUGAA